UACGAAGGGGGCUAGCGUUGUUCGGAAUUACUGGGCGUAAAGCGCACGUAGGCGGAUACUUAAGUCAGGGGUGAAAUCCCGGGGCUCAACCCCGGAACUGCCUUUGAUACUGGGUAUCUCGAGUCCGGAAGAGGUGAGUGGAAUUCCGAGUGUAGCGGUGGAAUGCGUAGAGAUCCGGAAGAACACCGGAGGCGAAGGCGGCUUGCUGGGCUCGGUCUGACGCUGAGGCGCGAAAGCGUGGGGAGCGAACAGG
rnacentral:rRNA from 1 species